rnacentral:rRNA from 1 species
GUUCGAUUAUGGCUCAGAUUGAACGCUGGCGGGAUGCUUUACACAUGCAAGUCGAACGGCGUGCGGACUUCGGUCUGGUGGCGAGUGGCGAACAGGUGAGUAAUGUAUCGGAACGUGCCUAGUGGCGGGGAUAACUACGCGAAAGCGUAGCUAACCGCAUACGCCCCUUCGGGGAAAGCGGGGGACCUUCGGGCCUCGCACUAAUGCAGAGCGGCCGAUAUCGGAUUGGCUAGUUGGUGGGGGUAAACGCUCACAAGGCGACGAUCCGUAGCUGGUUUGAGAGGACGACCAGCCACACUGGGACUGAGACACGGCCCAGACUCCUACAGGAGGCAGCAGUGGGGAAUUUUGGACAAUGGGGAAACCUGAUCAGCCAUCCGCGCUGUGCGAUGAAGGCCUACGGGUUAUAAAGCACUUUUUGGCAGGAGAAGAAACGGCACAGGAUAAUACCCCGUGCAACUGACAAUGCCUGCAGAAUAGCACCGGCUAACUACGUGCCAGCAGCCGCGGUAAUACGUAAGGGUGCAAGCGUUAAUCGGAAUUACUGGGCGUAAAGCGUGCGCAGGCGGUUCGGAAAGAAAGAUGCUGAAAUCCCAGAGCUUAACUUUGGAACUGCAUUUUUAACUACCGAGCUAGAGAGUGUGUCAGAGGAGGUGGAAUUCCGCGUGUAGCAGUGAAAUGCGUAGAUAUGCGGAGGAACACCGAUGGCGAAGGCAGCCUCCUGGGAUAACACUGACGCUCAUGCGAAAAGCGUGGGGCAAACAGGAUUAGAUACCUGGUGAUCCACGCCCUAAACGAUGUCAACUAGCUGUUGUUGGGGCGGGUUGUAGUAGCGCAACUAACGCGUGAAGUUGACCGCCUGGGAAAUGCGAUUAUAAGAUUAAACUCAAAGGAAUUGACGGGGACCCGCCUGACGGUGGAUGAUGUGGAUUAAUUCGAUGCAACGCGAAAAACCGCCUACACUUGACAUGUCUGGAAUCCGAAGAGAUUUGAGGAGUGCUCGCAAGAGAACCGGAACACAGGUGCUGCAUGGCUGUCGUCAGCUCGUGUGUCGUGAGAUGUUGGGUUAAGUCCCGCAACGAGCGCAACCCUUGUCAUUAGUUGCUACGAAAGGGCACUCUAAGCCGGACUGCCAUUGACGUAAAUAGGAAGGUGGGGAUGACGUCAAGUCCUCAUGGCCCUUAUGGGUAGGGCUUCACGUCAUACAAUGGUCGGGACAGAGGGUCGCCAACCCGCGAGGAACGAUCCCAGAAACCCGAUCGUAGUCCGGAUCGCAGUCUUGCAACUCGACUGCGUGCAGUCAGGAAUCGCUAGUAAUCGCGGAUCAGCAUCUAUCGCGGUGAAUACGUUCCCGGGUCUUGUACACACCGCCCAUCCGCACGCUGGAUGGGUUUUGCCAAGUAGUUAGCCUAACCGUAAGGAGGGCGAUUACCACGGUAAGUUCUUGACUGGUGAAGUCGUAACAAAGGUAA